AAGACGGGGCCUUCCUUGUACCCUGAAGGCAAGCACUUUGGGGUACAGAGGCUGCUGGUAACAAACUCACAGAGAUUUGACCCCUCACUCCUCUUCCUCACGGGGAUUCACUGCCAGCCUCCACCCGCAGCCCUCCCAGCCCUCUCCCCUUCCCCUGCGAGGGCAGGAGGGAUCUCCAGGGCCCAGAUCAGCAAUAUCUGCCUGAACACAAGAGGCCCCAGGUAUAGAGACGUGCAGAAACACUCACCGCCUUUUCCAAACCCUCAUGGUUUGUGCCCAGGAUUUCCCCAAAAGAAGCUCAUGCUGAACAAGGUUGCUUGCCCACUGAACUAAAACCAUACCAAGACACCUGGGAUGAGCGUCCCUAGGAUGCACACCAGCACCAGGCACAAAGGCACAGACCACAGCAAGUCGUGGGGCUCAGGACAAGGAGCAGCAGCCACCUGAACUGUCCCAUCAAGGGCCACACCUAGGGCGGCCAGCUACUCGAGGAAACCCUCCUUGCAGCUCAGCUUCCCCUUAGGGGCUCUUCUCCCGAUGGGAGCCACACAAGCACACCCUGAGCUCCCCCCACCUUCAGCCUGGUAGCUGCAAACCUCUCUGCCACACACAGAGGUGGCUGCCUGCAAGCCAGCUGCUAAACCCCAGAGCCACUACAACAGGGCUCGCACCGCGUUCCAGAAGGGCAGCAGAGGCGGAGCAAGGCUGAAACAAAGGGCCCCAAGGGCAGAAGGCACCAUAGGAAGGUGCUCCUAGCAGACACCUCACCCAGGACAUGGGAGGAACCUGGGUCUGAGCUUACACAGAGCUUCUGGCCCGCACGUGGAGGGUGUGAAUAGGGUCCCAGGUGAGGCUCACCGGGGCAGUGCAGGUGAAUUAGUGCCCUCUGGGCAGGCUGGCAGAGGUCUGGUAGGCAGAGGUGCUGCUUAGGUGAGUCUGGCUUGGAUGUGCUCCUUCCAGACCAGCUGAUGCAGCAGGUCAGCCAGGAUGCACUGGGCAACCCAAAGGGAAGACUGAAUACGGGUGUUUUUUCUCCUUCAUGAUCAGUUGUUUUCUGUAUUCUGAUAUUAAACGUUGGCCCGAUGUGAUCUACUUAUAGAGCUACAGAGUGCAACUUCUGCCUUUCCUUAAGGGACCUCAUCUCAGAAAGGC
rnacentral:lncRNA from 1 species